UGGGGAAUAUUGGACAAUGGGGGGAACCCUGAUCCAGCCAUGCCGCGUGUGUGAAGAAGGCCUUUUGGUUGUAAAGCACUUUAAGCGCGGAGGAGGCUACUCUAGUUAAUACCUAGGGAUAGUGGACGUUACUCGCAGAAUAAGCACCGGCUAACUCUGUGCCAGCAGCCGCGGUAAUACAGAGGGUGCGAGCGUUAAUCGGAUUUACUGGGCGUAAAGCGGGCGUAGGCGGCUUUUUAAGUCGGAUGUGAAAUCCCUGGGCUUAACUUAGGAA
rnacentral:rRNA from 1 species